GUGACUGAGUGGCGGACGGGUGAGUAACGCGUGGGUAACCUGCCUCAUACAGGGGGAUAACAGUUAGAAAUGACUGCUAAUACCGCAUAAGACCACAGCACCGCAUGGUGCAGGGGUAAAAACUCCGGUGGUAUGAGAUGGACCCGCGUCUGAUUAGGUAGUUGGUGGGGUAACGGCCUACCAAGCCGACGAUCAGUAGCCGACCUGAGAGGGUGACCGGCCACAUUGGGACUGAGACACGGCCCAAACUCCUACGGGAGGCAGCAGUGGGGAAUAUUGCACAAUGGGGGAAACCCUGAUGCAGCGACGCCGCGUGAGCGAUGAAGUAUUUCGGUAUGUAAAGCUCUAUCAGCAGGGAAGAAAAUGACGGUACCUGACUAAGAAGCACCGGCUAAAUACGUGCCAGCAGCCGCGGUAAUACGUAUGGUGCAAGCGUUAUCCGGAUUUACUGGGUGUAAAGGGAGCGUAGACGGAGUGGCAAGUCUGAUGUGAAAACCCGGGGCUCAACCCCGGGACUGCAUUGGAAACUGUCAAUCUGGAGUACCGGAGAGGUAAGCGGAAUUCCUAGUGUAGCGGUGAAAUGCGUAGAUAUU
rnacentral:rRNA from 1 species